UUUCAGACUAAUUAUUUUUUCACACAAAGCUCCAUCCCUGCUAUACCCUUCCAUUAUCUACUCGACAAAACCCUUUAUUCCUUCACAAUCCCAAUCCCAAUCCCAAUCCUUGCGCUUCCCCACCAGUAGUAGCUACUGUUCCUCCGCUGUCGUUGAUACUGUCACCGCCUUAGACGACGCCGAAGACUCUCGUCACCCCUUGCCCGAAUGGACGGCCUUUGUUGACCGAUUGACCACCAAGGGUUACUUCAGUGAAACCCUUGCCGAAGAUGAGGUUGACAGUCUUCACAAGAAUAUGAACCUUUUGAAAGACCCCUGUCUCAGCUUCGCUCGUGACCGUUACGAUGUUCUCAAAUCAUUGUCGACGAAAGAUAUUGAGGUGACUGUUGGAAGUGGAUGUCUUAAUCUGCUAAGGAAAGCUGUUAAUUCAGCUAAAAGAUUGAGAGCCUAUGUCAGACUCAAUGAAGGGGAUGUAUGUGAUUUUCCUCUUUGUAAUAUUUUAGCAUUUAAAUUUUGAGAGAAGAAUCCAUGGCUAUAUCUCUAUGCAUCCUGCUCUCUCUGUCCGCCUCUCAUCUUCUCUGCCCAACUCCAUUUGUUUGCCCUACUAUUUUCUAUCCAUUUAAUAGUCUCUAGUUCAAUAAACACUUCUCUAUUCAAGCCUUUUUAGUAAUUAUCUUAGUCUUUACCUCUCUCGCUUUCUCUAUCUUUCUCUAUAUAUAUACAUACACACACUCACUCACACACACAUAAACACAUGGAUAUUAGGAAUCGUUGGCAUGGAAAAAGAGGAUUGAGGUGAGAUCUUUCCAACCCAUAUUUUUUGGUUUUGUUAUUAAUAUUAUCUUUGAAAAAUAAGUAACAAUAUUUGUGCUUGAAAUGAAUAUCAAGAGAUUCUAGUGUUGUUUUUAAUUUAAAAAUCAGAUUCUAAAAUAGUAGCCACUAACUAAUUGGGUUUGGAUAAAGACACGAUUUUAGCUUGGGUUAUGGCUGAGGUUAUCGACUAUGGUGGUAAGAGAUUUCAAGUUUUCACAAUGUCUAGGACGAAGGUGGAGAUUACUGGUUCCGAAGGCCCAAGUUGUUGGUGUUAAAAGUUUGUGCUUUUCCCCAAAUUUCCAAAUGGUUUAAAGUUUCCAAUAGGAGAUGAAGUUUCAAUAAGAAUGGUUUAGUGCCCUCAAUCUGGUUUCUCAACGGCAAAUUCCCUGGUUUUAUGCAAUUUCACCAAUUUUGCUAGAAAUAUCUGUUGCCUGAAGUGGAAAGCUGAGGGACCAAAGAAUUUUGGAGGAAGUGAUAUUGAAAUGAAGAAAGGUGAUUGGAAUUAUCCAAACAUUGUACAAACUUUGACUCCUGUUUCUUUGGAAAAUAAGUUACAGAGAAAUCCAAGUAGACGAACAAAAAGUAGGUGGGAGCCUCUACUAGAGGAGAAACUUGUUGAAAAACCAGCAUCCGUCAAUCAUAGUACUUUAAAAUAUUCUGGAUGGGCACAUGCCAAUGAAAGGGACAAAAAGUGUCAAUCUCAGCUGCAAUCCCUUUAUGCUGAAGGAAUUGAGGGAUGCCUCAUGGAGUUUUCUGCAUACAACUUACUAUGUGUUAUCCUGCACUCUAGUAACAACAGAGAUCUUGUAUCAUCUAUGUCGAGAUUAUCAAGUGAAGCUAAAAGAGAUAAUGCAGUAAGGCACGCUCUUGCAGUUCGGGCAGCUGUCACUUCUGGAAACAAUGUUAUGUUCUUCAGGCUCUUCAAAACAGCACCAAAUUUGAACACUUGCCUGAUGGAUCUAUAUGUUGAAAAGAUGCGGUUUAAGGCAGUGUGCUGCAUAUCUCGAUCUUAUUGGCCUGUGUUACCUGUUUCUUAUAUCGCUCAGGUUCUGGGCUUCUCUAAUGUUGCUUCUGACAAUGAUGAAAAAGAUUCAGAUGGAUUAGAGGAAUGUAUUGAGUGGUUGAAGGCACAUGGCGCAUGUCUUAUUGUAGAUAACAAUGGAGAGAUGCAGCUUGAUGCCAAGAUUCAACAAGUGAAGUGCAAAAGAAAAUCUGAUUUGGAAGGCUUUGGUGUGCUAACAUUUGGAAGAUCAUGAAUUCCUACUUUUACUUUUGAAUAUGCAACUGUUGAAAGCGCCUGGGACGGCAUGGCCGUACGUGGUUAGCCUGAUAAUGGCUUAUUUAUAAGUAAAGGCAAGGGGAAAGUCGACCAACCUUAAGUAUGGUGAGCGUGAUGAGCGGCGCAUACAUGUCUGGUCUGCCUGGCUGCCACGACCAGGGGUACUUUUGGGAGAUGAUUGUACUAAACUUAAAUUUUGUCGUUUAGUCGACUCUGGUUAUAUUUUUGAGUUGUAAAUAUUCCUAAACAGUAUUUGGGAUCCCAAAUGUUAAACGCUUUUAUAAUUUUCAGUAAAUGGUUUAUUUUUUUCAAA